rnacentral:rRNA from 1 species
UACGGAGGGUGCGAGCGUUGUCCGGAAUUACUGGGCGUAAAGGGCGCGUAGGCGGCGCGGUAAGCGUGCGGUGAAAGCCCGGGGCUCAACCCCGGGUCGGCCGUGCGGACUGCCGGGCUCGAGCACUGUAGAGGCGGGUGGAAUUCCGGGUGUAGCGGUGGAAUGCGUAGAGAUCCGGAAGAACACCGGUGGCGAAGGCGGCCCGCUGGGCAGUGGCUGACGCUGAGGCGCGACAGCGUGGGGAGCAAACAGG